CAAACAGUUUACAGCUGCGUUUAGCUGAUCUUAAAUUGAACUAUUAGUUAUUUACAAUUUGUGUUUAUUAUUUAUGUGCAUAGCUAACUGAUUUAUAUAUGUUGUAGACUUUUUAUUUCAAUUAAAGUCUAGGCAAGUGGGAAGUUUUGUUUUCAAUUGCUUUUUCUUUUGUUCUUUUAAUCGACUCAAUUGGUUUAUAAAUUAAACGUUUGAUUUAAUUUAAUAAACCAACUAAAUUCCCUCAAUUACUUGAACAUGCAGCACAGUGUGUGGUCCCAACCUUCAACGAGGAGCCCAAGUUAAAGGCAAUAAGCAUGUCAACAGCAAUUUUUGCAUGUUAAACAAAUGCAAUUACCCUUAGUCGAAGCCAAAAAAAGAAAAAAAAAGAACAUUGUCUGUACUUCCCUUUGACUGCAACAAGAAGAAAAGAAACAAAUAAUUUACGUGUAAAUUAAAUAAAAAGGCAAAGUCAAAGCGCGGCCAACAAAUUGCCGCAACAGCCGACGACAGCACAAAUCGAAUGCUGCACAAAACGAUCAACGAUAAAGAUGUACAAAAAAGAGAGACAGAUAAAGAUUGAGAUCGAUAAAGCCUUGCAUUUAACUGCAUACCAAACAAAAGCAACAACAGCUGAAAAUCAAGUUACGUCUUCGAGUUUGCUGAUGGAGAAUUGAAACACAUUGGGGCAAGAGUUAUGGAUAUCUGCAAAAAGUACUAAGCCCAAUCAGCGGAAGUAAACUUGGUCAGCAAAUUGUGCAUUGUUCGCUUCAACAUAGCAAACUAGCUCGUGUUGCAUGUCGCACACGCCCACUUUGUCAGCGGCGCGUCAAGUUGAAGGCCGAUCGGGCAAAAAACAAAAGGCAGAAAACACAAUGAAAAUUGUUGAAAUUAAUUACAGGUAGGCAGUAGGUGAGACACGUUCGAUGGCUCUGCCACUUCAUGGUUUUGAUUCUAUUGCCAUUUUCGGGCAAUUAACACACAAGGGAAGACACGAGUUUGAACUUGUGGCGAAUUUCUGGCUGGUGCUCCAAAAUAUAUGGACUGUAAAAUUAUAGUGUGCGCGCCUGAUAGUUAAAGCAGUAAUUAAUUUAAAAAAAAGCUAGUUAUUAAUGUGCAUUUGAUUGUUUGACCAAAGUUGUUAAUCGGUAUUGAAAAGCAAAUUAAUCUUCAUUAGAAAUUUUAAGAGAUUUUUUAUGUGUGUGUAAACGUACA